CCGGCGCACGGGUGCGUAACGCGUAUGCAACCUCCCAUCAACAGGGGGAUAACACUGAGAAAUUGGUACUAAUACCCCAUAAUAUCUCAUGCGGCAUCGCAUGGGGUUGAAAACUCCGGUGGUUGAUGAUGGGCAUGCGUUGUAUUAGCUGGUUGGUGAGGUAACGGCUCACCAAGGCGACGAUACAUAGGGGGACUGAGAGGUUAACCCCCCACAUUGGUACUGAGACACGGACCAAACUCCUACGGAAGGCAGCAG
rnacentral:rRNA from 1 species